CUGUUCUGUAUUCUCUGAACUCUACCUGGUGACUGAGACAGAGGCUUGAGGAUCUCAAGGCAGGAGGAGGAACCAGGUGUUCAAUUUGGUCCAUCAUAUGCAGAUUUCUGAGCGAUACGGAGAAAAGAAAACACAGUAUUUGAAGAAAGGUAGCGAAGGGGAGAUGCAAAAGUAGUGGUAUCCACUGGAGGAUACUGAGAGGUGUACAGCCAGAUAAUCUCUUCUGCCAUCCGAAUGGUGCAUAUCUGGAAAAAUAUGUAAAUACUGAUAUGAGGCAUUCAACUAGCAACUACAUUUUUAUGGUGUGUGAAGACGUGCAUGCCAGUUACCUUCCUUUUGUGUCAUCUUAAUUUUCUGCUACCACUUUCUGAAUUGUGCUUCAAGCAGCUAACAAGCACAUAAUAGCUCUUGUAACAAGUGCCAGACAGGUCCACUGUGCAAUCAUUGUCAAUUUCUUCUGUACUGGAAACCUACUUUAGUGGUAGUAGUGUAUGAUAACCUUUGUUAAUUGGCUUAUGAAAUGAAAAGUAGAACUGGAAACAUCUCUAUUCAUGUGUUUUUCUCCCAGCCAUUUUCAUGUAUCUAAUAGAGCUGAAUAAAUAA